rnacentral:lncRNA from 1 species
AUGGGUCUCCUGAACUCCGGACCCCAGGCUGGAGGGUCUGAGGGAACAAUACCUGGGCUCCUGGGGUGGGGGAUCCGGAUCGCCUCCAGGGGAGGGGGCGUUCUGGACUUACGCCCCCGCCCCCAGCCGAAGGGUGCCCCCCUCCCCUACCUCCCUAUUGACGGCGCCCAGCUUGGGCUGGGCCCUCCCCCGGGCCGCAGCGGCGGAACCGGCGCGCUAGGCCCGCAGGUCGCGAGGCCCCCUCCCAUCGCGCCUCAGGCUCUGCUCUCCCCGGGCGGGCGGGCGCGCGGGGCGGCGGCGUGGGGUAGGACAGAGGUCGCCCUGGGCCGCGCCCCGCGCUGGGGGCCCCCCGCGCCCGCCCCCCUCAUCGCAGCCCCCGCCCGCCCGGCCCGCUCGCGGGGACACUCACCCGGCGCCCUCUCCCUGCCCGGCCCGCCGCGCCCGCCGGCGCCCCGGGGCCCGCAGGAAGCCCCCGCCCGCCAGCCCCGCCGGCGGCCCCCUCGGCCCUGCGGCCCCGCCAGGCGCUCCCGGGGAGCGAGAGGGGCCGGCCGAGGGCCGCAGCGGGGGCUGCUGGGACUUGUAGUUCGCCUGCGCCCGCCUCGGCCGUCGCCAUCGCUGCCCCCGCCCCCCGGGCGAGCCUUUGUCCCGGCCGGGCCACCCGGCCGCGCGGCCGCGCCUUUGUCUGCGCCGGGCUCCGCCCGCGCUGUCCCCGCCGCUGCCUCUCCUCUUCUGCUUCUCUCCCAGCCGCUCUUGAUCCCUCUCCGCCCCUGUCUCUCUCUCUCUGUCCCUUCUCUGUUCCUCCGUCCCUUUAUUUCCAUGUCUUGGCCUCUCUUGUCACUUUCUCUGCCUCCAUCCCUCUGUCUCUGCAUCCUCCUCCUCUCUCUCCCUGUCUCUGCCUCCAGCCCGUGUCUCCGACUCUGUCUCUCUUUCUCUCUCUCGUUUCCAGGAACACCGAACAGUCUCUGUCUCUUGCAGACGGGAAACACUCAUCAGCAUAGUUCAGACGCUGAGAAUUUACAAACUUGUGGUAUCUUUGCUCAGUCCAGCGUUUUCCCUUUAAGACUCCUCCUCCGAGGAAAAGAGCUGGGGAUACUCCUCCUCUUUCUCCUCCCAGGGUCAUGCAGGGCUGUCACUGGUGGGCUCCCCGUGCCUGUUCCUCCUUUUAUAAGCCAGGUCUGGGAAGCAGUCUGGGCAUACUUUACCUGGAGAUGGAGAUCCCUGUGA